UUAAGCGACUAAGCGUACACGGUGGAUGCCCUGGCAGUCAGAGGCGAUGAAGGACGUGCUAAUCUGCGAAAAGCGUCGGUAAGGUGAUAUGAACCGUUACAGCCGGCGAUGUCCGAAUGGGGAAACCCAGUGCAAUUCGUUGCACUAUCGUUAACUGAAUACAUAGGUUAACGAGGCGAACCGGGGGAACUGAAACAUCUAAGUACCCCGAGGAAAAGAAAUCAACCGAGAUUCCCCCAGUAGCGGCGAGCGAACGGGGAGCAGCCCAGAGUCUGAAUCAGCUUGUGUGUUAGUGGAACGGUCUGGAAAGUCCGACGGUACAGGGUGAUAGUCCCGUACACCAAAAUGCACAGGUUGUGAACUCGAAGAGUAGGGCGGGACACGUGGUAUCCUGUCUGAAUAUGGGGGGACCAUCCUCCAAGGCUAAAUACUCCUGACUGACCGAUAGUGAACCAGUACCGUGAGGGAAAGGCGAAAAGAACCCCGGCGAGGGGAGUGAAAAAGAACCUGAAACCGUGUACGUACAAGCAGUGGGAGCACCUUCGGGUGUGACUGCGUACCUUUUGUAUAAUGGGUCAGCGACUUAUAUUCUGUAGCAAGGUUAACCGUAUAGGGGAGCCGCAGGGAAACCGAGUCUUAACUGGGCGUUAAGUUGCAGGGUAUAGACCCGAAACCCGGUGAUCUAGCCAUGGGCAGGUUGAAGGUUGGGUAACACUAACUGGAGGACCGAACCGACUAAUGUUGAAAAAUUAGCGGAUGACUUGUGGCUGGGGGUGAAAGGCCAAUCAAACCGGGAGAUAGCUGGUUCUCCCCGAAAGCUAUUUAGGUAGCGCCUCGUGAAUUCAUCUUCGGGGGUAGAGCACUGUUUCGGCUAGGGGGUCAUCCCGACUUACCAACCCGAUGCAAACUACGAAUACCGAAGAAUGUUAUCACGGGAGACACACGGCGGGUGCUAACGUCCGUCGUGAAGAGGGAAACAACCCAGACCGCCAGCUAAGGUCCCAAAGUCAUGGUUAAGUGGGAAACGAUGUGGGAAGGCACAGACAGCCAGGAUGUUGGCUUAGAAGCAGCCAUCAUUUAAAGAAAGCGUAAUAGCUCACUGGUCGAGUCGGCCUGCGCGGAAGAUGUAACGGGGCUAAACCAUGCACCGAAGCUGCGGCAGCGACACUAUGUGUUGUUGGGUAGGGGAGCGUUCUGUAAGCCUGCGAAGGUGUGCUGUGAGGCAUGCUGGAGGUAUCAGAAGUGCGAAUGCUGACAUAAGUAACGAUAAAGCGGGUGAAAAGCCCGCUCGCCGGAAGACCAAGGGUUCCUGUCCAACGUUAAUCGGGGCAGGGUGAGUCGACCCCUAAGGCGAGGCCGAAAGGCGUAGUCGAUGGGAAACAGGUUAAUAUUCCUGUACUUGGUGUUACUGCGAAGGGGGGACGGAGAAGGCUAUGUUAGCCGGGCGACGGUUGUCCCGGUUUAAGCAUGUAGGCUGGUUAUCCAGGCAAAUCCGGAUAAUCAAGGCUGAGGUGUGAUGACGAGGCACUACGGUGCUGAAGUAACAAAUGCCCUGCUUCCAGGAAAAGCCUCUAAGCAUCAGGUAACAUUAAAUCGUACCCCAAACCGACACAGGUGGUCAGGUAGAGAAUACCAAGGCGCUUGAGAGAACUCGGGUGAAGGAACUAGGCAAAAUGGUGCCGUAACUUCGGGAGAAGGCACGCUGGUGUGUAGGUGAAGUCCCUGCGGAUGGAGCUGAGACCAGUCGAAGAUACCAGCUGGCUGCAACUGUUUAUUAAAAACACAGCACUGUGCAAACACGAAAGUGGACGUAUACGGUGUGACGCCUGCCCGGUGCCGGAAGGUUAAUUGAUGGGGUUAUCCGUAAGGAGAAGCUCUUGAUCGAAGCCCCGGUAAACGGCGGCCGUAACUAUAACGGUCCUAAGGUAGCGAAAUUCCUUGUCGGGUAAGUUCCGACCUGCACGAAUGGCGUAAUGAUGGCCAGGCUGUCUCCACCCGAGACUCAGUGAAAUUGAACUCGCUGUGAAGAUGCAGUGUACCCGCGGCAAGACGGAAAGACCCCGUGAACCUUUACUAUAGCUUGACACUGAACAUUGAGCCUUGAUGUGUAGGAUAGGUGGGAGGCUUUGAAGCGUGGACGCCAGUCUGCGUGGAGCCAACCUUGAAAUACCACCCUUUAAUGUUUGAUGUUCUAACGUUGGCCCCUUACCGGGGUUGCGGACAGUGUCUGGUGGGUAGUUUGACUGGGGCGGUCUCCUCCCAAAGCGUAACGGAGGAGCACGAAGGUUAGCUAAUCCUGGUCGGACAUCAGGAGGUUAGUGCAAUGGCAUAAGCUAGCUUGACUGCGAGCGUGACGGCGCGAGCAGGUGCGAAAGCAGGUCAUAGUGAUCCGGUGGUUCUGAAUGGAAGGGCCAUCGCUCAACGGAUAAAAGGUACUCCGGGGAUAACAGGCUGAUACCGCCCAAGAGUUCAUAUCGACGGCGGUGUUUGGCACCUCGAUGUCGGCUCAUCACAUCCUGGGGCUGAAGUAGGUCCCAAGGGUAUGGCUGUUCGCCAUUUAAAGUGGUACGCGAGCUGGGUUUAGAACGUCGUGAGACAGUUCGGUCCCUAUCUGCCGUGGGCGCUGGAGAAUUGAGGGGGGCUGCUCCUAGUACGAGAGGACCGGAGUGGACGCAUCACUGGUGUUCGGGUUGUCAUGCCAAUGGCACUGCCCGGUAGCUAAAUGCGGAAGAGAUAAGUGCUGAAAGCAUCUAAGCACGAAACUUGCCCCGAGAUGAGUUCUCCCUGAGACUUUAAGUCUCCUGAAGGAACGUUAAAGACGAUGACGUUGAUAGGCCGGGUGUGUAAGCGCAGCGAUGCGUUGAGCUAACCGGUACUAAUGAACCGUGAGGCUUAACCUU
rnacentral:rRNA from 1 species